CCCAGCACCUCCACCAUCCCCAUCAGCCCUCCAUAGGACACCCCCAGCACCUCCACCAUCCCCAUCAGCCUCCCCCACCAUUCAACCACAAAUCACAAUAAUAUAUAUACACACACACACACACACACAAAUACAUAUACAUAAACAUAUUCACAGGAUACUCAACUUAUCUCUUUUCCUACAUCAGAUGUACAGGUGCCAUUUCCACCUGGAUGACAGCACAUAAUCAGCAACACAGAGAUGCUCUUCAUCCGAGGGAAUGCCUGCCUGUUCUCAUUGUUACAUCAUCCCAGACAAUCACAUGUCAUUUACAUUCUAGCCCUAAGGAUUGCCUGCCCGUUCUCAUUGUUACAUCAUCCCAGAUGAUCACGUCAUUUACAUUCCAUCCCUAAGGAUUGCCUGCCCGUUCUCAUUGUUACAUCAUCCCAGAUGAUCACAUGUCAUUUACAUUCCAUCCCUAAGGAUUGCCUGCCUGUUCUCAUUGUUACAUCAUCCCAGAUGAUCACACGUCAUUUACAUUCCAUCCCUAAGGAUUGCCUGCCCGUUCUCAGAUGUUAGAUAACCCCAGGUAAAACACACAUCAUUUACAUCCCAGCCCUUGUCAGCUCCAGAUUUGACGACUUCAACUCACACCCUGUUGGAGUCCCUGCAUUCUCAGAUUCCCCUCAGUUAUUCAUCUCUAUAUUUUAAUCAAUAAAGUGUUUCAAAAUGCUGUUUUUUUUAUUAACAUAUACGUUCAGAUCCUUCCUGAGAGAGAAGGGGUGUAGUAUCUUCAGAUGGGCGUGUGGUGCCCUUCCUCACCCACGCCAACAAGAUGUUACUUCUUGUGGGGUCUUUGCCUUGAAAUUUGCUGAAUGUGUUCUGAAGGUGUCGAUUGUCUUUUCAAAUAUGGACAAAGAUGUUAACAUCAUGAGAGAAAUAGCAGAAAUAGCAGUCACUCCCCUCCAAAACACUGAUGUACAGGUGACAUUUCCACCUGGAUGACAGCACAUAAUCAGCAACACAGAGAUGCUCUUCAUCCGAGGGAAUGCCUGCCUGUUCUCAUUGUUACAUCAUCCCAGACAAUCACAUGUCAUUUACAUUCUAGCCCUAAGGAUUGCCUGCCCGUUCUCAUUGUUACAUCAUCCCAGAUGAUCACGUCAUUUACAUUCCAUCCCUAAGGAUUGCCUGCCUGUUCUCAUUGUUACAUCAUCCCAGAUGAUCACGUCAUUUACAUUCCAUCCCUAAGGAUUGCCUGCCUGUUCUCAUUCUUACAUCAUCCCAGAUGAUCACGUCAUUUACAUUCCAUCCCUAAGGAUUGCCUGCCCGCUCUCAGAUGUUAGAUAACCCCAGAUCCUUCCUGAGAGAGAAGGGGUGUAGUAUCUUCAGAUGGGCGUGUGGUGCCCUUCCUCACCCACGCCAACAAGAUGUUACUUCUUGUGGGGUCUUUGCCUUGAAAUUUGCUGAAUGUGUUCUGAAGGUGUCGAUUGUCUUUUCAAAUAUGGACAAAGAUGUUAACAUCAUGAGAGAAAUAGCAGAAAUAGCAGUCACUCCCCUCCAAAACACUGGACCUGAGCCCUAGGACCAUGCCCCAGGACUACCUGACAUGAUGACUCCUUGCUGUCCCCAGUCCACCUGGCCGUGCUGCUGCUCCAGUUUCAACUGACCUGCCUUAUUAUUAUUCGACCAUGCUGGUCAUUUAUGAACAUUUGAACAUCUUGGCCAUGUUCUGUUAUAAUCUCCACCCGGCACAGCCAGAAGAGGACUGGCCACCCCACAUAUGCUCUCUCUAAUUCUCUCUUUCUUUCUCUCUCUCGGAGGACCUGAGCCCUAGGACCAUGCCCCAGGACUACCUGACAUGAUG